rnacentral:rRNA from 1 species
AGUCUGGUGCCAGCAGCCGCGGUAAUUCCAGCUCCAAUAGCGUAUAUUAAAAUUGUUGCAGUUAAAAAGCUCGUAGUUGGAUUUCUGGUUGGGCGCAUUUGGCCCGCUUCGGUUACGAGGUUGAGUGCCGUUUUGCGCCCGCCAUCCUUCUAGAGUACGACUCUCCCUUUACUGGGUUGGGCCGGAAUCUAGAUCAUUUACUUUGAAAAAAUUAGAGUGUUUAAAGCAGGUUUACGCUAUGAAUACAUUAGCAUGGAAUAAUAAUUUAGGACUUUGGUCUUAUUUUGUUGGUUUCUAGGACUAAAGUAAUGAUUGAUAGGGAUAGUUGGGGGUGCUAGUAUUCAGCGGCCAGAGGUGAAAUUCUUGGAUUCGCUGAAGACUAACUUAUGCGAAAGCAUUCACCAAGGAUGUCUUCUUUAAUCAAGAACGAAAGUUGGGGGAUCGAAGACGAUCAGAUACCGUCGUAGUCUCAACCAUAAACUAUGCCGACUAGGGAUGAGUGAACGUUGCUUAUUCGACUUCAUUCGCACCUUAUGAGAAAUUAAAGUCUUUGGGUUCCGGGGGGAGUAUGGUCGCAAGGCUGAAACUUAAAGGAAUUGACGGAAGGGCACACCAGGAGUGGAGCCUGCGGCUUAAUUUGACCCAACACGGGAAAACUUACCAGGUCCAGACAUAAUAAGGAUUGACAGAUUGAAGAUCUUUCUUGAUUUUAUGGGUGGUGGUGCAUGGCCGUUCUUAGUUGGUGGAGUGAUUUGUCUGGUUAAUUCCGUUAACGAACGAGACCUCGACCUGCUAAAUAGUUUGGUGAAUUCUCCGGGAUUCAUUUACGACUUCUUAGAGGGACUAUCGGUGAUUUAGCCGAUGGAAGUUCGAGGCAAUAACAGGUCUGUGAUGCCCUUAGAUGUCCUGGGCCGCACGCGCGCUACACUGAUACGUUCAUCGAGCUUACAACCUUGUCUGAGAGGACUGGGUAAUCUUUUUAAACCGUAUCGUGCUGGGGAUAGAUUAUUGUAAUUUUUAAUCUUCAACGAGGAAUUCCUAGUAAACGCUGGUCAUCAACCAGCAUUGAUACGUCCCUGCCCUUUGUACACACCGCCCGUCGCUACUACCGAUUGAAUGGCUUAGUGAGUUUCAGAGAUUGUUGUAUCUGCGUGGUUCGCCAUUCUGGUACAUCCGAGAACUGAAACAAACUUGAUCAUUUAGAGGAAGUAAAAGUCGU